GCCUUCGCGGUGUAAUGGUUAGCACACUCGAUUCGUAACUGAGAGGUCCACGGUUCGAUUCCCGGCUAAGGUU
rnacentral:tRNA from 1 species